UUCUUGGAAAUCGUGACGUAAAUUUUGUGGAAAAACGUCGGAAACAAUUGGAAAAUUACUUGAGACAAUUGAUCAAUUAUAGUCUGGGUGCUGUUCCAGAGUUAGGUGAAAAUCCUUGCAAGAGUUCUUUGUUCAAAUACUUUCCAUUUUUCAUGCAAACUUCAACGGUAUCAUCUGUUUCAACGACGACAACAACAAAACAAACUGUUCCUUCUACACAUAAUGGUUAAAAGGUAAAACUUGUAGGAUGUCUGUCAAAAAAAACAGAGCAUGGAAAUUGUAUAACUUUUAUUGUAUAUAUAUAACAUACGUAUAGUUCAGUAUAUGUAAAUAUAAUAUGUCUACAAAGUAGAAGAAUUUACUGAUGCAUCAACUUCAAGGACUCUUUAUUGUAUGUGUUAUAUACAGAUAUAAUUUGUCAGUAUUUGCUACUAUAUAAUAGUACAUCAUACAGGGUUUUAACAAGUUAAAACAUAAUAUUUAACUUGAAAUGAAAGCAAUCGUAUUUUAAAUACAUCACACGAAACCUA